GGUGCCUCCACUCCACCCCCGCGGGUCUGCUGUGCGUGUCAUGGAUGGCAUUGUCCCAGAUAUAGCAGUUGGUACAAAGCAGGGAUCUGACGAGCUUUUCUCUACUUGUGUCACUAACAGACCAUUUAUCAUGAGCAGCAACUCGGCCUCUGCAGCAAAUGGAAAUGGCAGCAAGAAGUUCAAAGGUGACAGCAGAAGCGCUGGUGUCCCCUCCAGAGUGACCCACAUCCAGAAGCUCCCAUCGACGUCACCGAAGGGGAGGUGAUCUCCCUGGAGCUGCUCUUUGGGAAGGUCGCUAAUCUCCUGAUGCUGAAGGGGAAAAACCAGGCCUUCAUCGAGAUGAGCACGGAGGAGGCUGCCAACACCAUGGUGAACUACUACACCUCGGUGACACCCGUGCUGCGCAGCCAGCCCAUCUACAUCCAGUUCUCCAACCAUAAGGGGCUGAAGACCGACAGCUCUCCCAACCAGGCGCAGGACCCAGCGGCCCUCAGGCGUUAACUCGGUCCAUUUGGGGAACCUGGCCUCGGCUGCCUCGGCGGUGGCCGUAGACGCAGGGAUGGCGAUGGCCGGGCAGAGCCCAGUGCUCAGGAUCAUCGUAGAGAACUUCGUCUAGCCCGUGGCUCUGGAUGUGCUGCACCAGAUUUUCUCCAAGUUCGGCACAUUGUUGAAGACCAUCACCUUCAUCAAGAACAACCAGUUCCAGGCCCUGCUGCAGUACGCCGACCCCGAGAACGCCCAGCGUGUCAAGCUGUCGCUGGACUGGCAGAACACCUACAACGCCUGCCACUCGCUGUGCAUCGACUUCCCCAAGCUCAUCAGUCUCAACGUCAAGUACAACAAUGACAAGAGCCAGGACUACCACGUCCAGACCUGCCCUCUGGGGACAGCCAGCCCUCGCUAGACUAGACAUGGCCGCGGCCUUCGAUCUUUUAGUUCCCAACAUCCACAGAGCCUGGUCCCCCUGGCUAUCCCCUCAGCGGCGGCAGCUGCAGCGGCAGGCCGGAUCGCCAUCCCGGGCCUGGCAGGGGCAGGAAAUUCUGUCUUACUGGUCGGCAACCUCAACCCAGAGAGAGUCACACCCCAAAGCCUCGUCCUCUUUAUUCUUUUCAGCAACUACGGGUACGUGCAGUGCGUGAAGAUCCUGUUCAAUAAAAAGGAGAACGCCCUGUUGAAGAUGGCGGACGACAACCAGGCCCAGCCGGCUAUGAGCCCCCUGAACUGGCACAAGCUGCACGGGAAGCCCAUCCGCAUCACCUCAGCCUUAUCACGCCCUCGAAGCACCAGAACGUGUAGCUGCCCCGCGAGGGCCGGAAGGACCAAGGCCUGACCAAGGACUAUGGCAACUUGGCCCUGCACCGCUUCAAGAAGCCAGGCUUCAAGAACUUCCAGAAUAUAUUCCUGCCCUCGGCCACUGUGCACCUCUCCAACAUCCCGCCCUCAGUAUCCGAGGAAUAUCUCAAGGUCCUCUCCUCCAGCCAUGGGGGUGUCAUCAAACGACUCAAGUUCUUCCAGAAGGACCGCAAGAUGGCGCUGAUCCAAAUGCGCUGCGUGGAGGAGGCGGUCCAGGCCCCAGUUGACCUACACAACCACCAUGUCUGGGAGAACCACCACCCGGGGGUCUCCUUCUCCAAGUCCACCAUCUAGGGGUCUCAGGCCCCCCACGGCCGGGCCCCCUGGCGACAACUUCCAUCAUUCCAGAAAAAAGCCACUUUAAAGAGCAGCUGAAGUGACCUUAACUGAUCAUUUUAUUUCU